CCUACGGGAGGCAGCAGUGGGGGAUAUUGCACAAUGGGGGGAACCCUGAUGCAGCGACGCCGCGUGGGUGAAGAAGCGCCUCGGCGCGUAAAGCCCUGUCAGCAGGGAAGAAAAUGACGGUACCUGAAGAAGCAGCCCCGGCUAACUACGUGCCAGCAGCCGCGGUAAUACGGAGGGGGCAAGCGGUAGCCGGAUUUACUGGGUGUAAGGGGGGCGCAGACGGGGAUGCAAGCCAGGAGUGAAAGCCCGGGGCCCAACCCCGGGACUGGUCUUGGAACUGGGUGGCUGGAGUGCAGGAGGGGCAGGCGGAAUUCCUGGUGUAGCGGUGAAAUGCGUAGAUAUCAGGAGGAACACCGGUGGCGAAGGCGGCCUGCUGGACUGCAACUGACGUUGAGGCCCGAAAGCGUGGGGAGCAAACAGGAUUAGAUACCCCAGUAGUC
rnacentral:rRNA from 1 species